rnacentral:rRNA from 1 species
AACGGCGAGUGAAGCGGCAAUAGCUCAAAUUUGAAAUCUGGCUCUUUCAGAGUCCGAGUUGUAAUUUGUAGAGGAUGCUUCGGCUUACGUUUCGGUCUAAGUUCCUUGGAACAGGACGUCACAGAGGGUGAGAAUCCCGUUUGUGGCCGAGACUUCUGCCAUGUGAAGCUCCUUCGACGAGUCGAGUUGUUUGGGAAUGCAGCUCUAAAUGGGAGGUAUAUUUCUUCUAAAGCUAAAUACCGGCCAGAGACCGAUAGCGCACAAGUAGAGUGAUCGAAAGAUGAAAAGCACUUUGGAAAGAGAGUUAAAAAGUACGUGAAAUUGUUGAAAGGGAAGCGCUUGCGACCAGACUUGCCUGCGGAUGCUCAACCUGUCCUUCGACUGGUGCACUCUUCCGCAGUCAGGCCAGCAUCAGUUCGAGCGGUCGGAUAAAGGCCUUGGGAAUGUGGCUCUCUUCGGGGAGUGUUAUAGCCCUUGGUGUAAUACGGCCCGCCUGGACUGAGGCCCGCGCUUCGGCUAGGAUGCUGGCGUAAUGGUCGUAAGCGGCCCGUCUUGAAACACGGACCAAGGAGUCUAACAUCUAUGCGAGUGUUUGGGUGUCAAACCCGUGCGCGAAAUGAAAGUGAACGGAGGUGGGAACCCUUUUGGGUGCACCAUCGACCGAUCCUGAUGUCUUCGGAUGGAUUUGAGUAAGAGCAUAGCUGUUGGGACCCGAAAGAUGGUGAACUAUGCCUGAAUAGGGUGAAGCCAGAGGAAACUCUGGUGGAGGCUCGCAGCGGUUCUGACGUGCAAAUCGAUCGUCAAAUUUGGGUAUAGGGGCGAAAGACUAAUC